GAAAGCAGGUUAUUGAGCUUAGAUCUGUCAAAGGAAUGACACAAGUCCGAAUUACUGAAUCUAAGGGAAAGCUUUCCUACAAUCACUGAUGCAGCAAGCCAGCGAACAAGCUUUGAUAUCAGAGAAUCAUCUGUUUCUUCCUCAGCUUGCAGUCUCACAAUGCAAGCAAAAUUUUUCGGCCCGUGGAUAUUUUCAAUCUUUGGCUGCAAAGCAAUUAAAGUAGCCCAUCUAACAAACUUGGAAACUUUUUCCUUGUCCUGGAA
rnacentral:lncRNA from 1 species